GCCGAGGGCCAUGCCGCCCUGAACACCCUCAAUCCCAUCUGAUCUCGGAAGCUAAGCAGGGUCGGGCCUGGUUAGUAUUUGGAUGGGAGACCACCAAGGAAGACCAGGUGCUGUAGGCA
rnacentral:rRNA from 1 species